rnacentral:lncRNA from 1 species
CGCAGACAAGACAUGUGCCUGCCCUAGCUCUUCAUUCUUACAGAGUGGUUGCAGUGGGACUUGUUUCCACCCCUUGCACAUUCUCAAAAUACACUCCCAGGCUGGGCUCCCUGGGAAGAACAGCUUCCUCCAGACACACACAGGUGGAAGGUCCAACAAACCUCCUUGCCGCCGACUUUGAACAGGCACAGACUUCUGCCAGGCCUGCAGACAGAGCUCAGGAUAAAGAGCCAAGGGUGUGGCCUGUCUCGAGGCCCAUAGAUGUGCGCUCUGCAGGUGGAAUGGCCGUCCGGUGCUUACUUUGACUGUCCUCGGGUCCCGAGUCUUCUGGUGGUUAACUGAGGAAACUGCUGCCUUAUGAUCUAGCAGAGGAUGAUAAUUGCUGUUGCCCAGGACAACCACACCAGUUCACAAGAAAUCCGUGAAGAGAGAGCAUCUCUCAAGGUGAAAACAUAACCAUGAGGCCCCUUUCCUUGGGGUUUACGGAGAUGAUGUUUGUGGAGAGGCAUGACAGGUCAGGGGUUACGUGCAAGAACUCUGGAACUCGACUACCUGAAUUGAAUGCAAGCUCAGGCAUUGGUUAGGCUGGAUGCCCUUGGGCAAGUUAUUUAGUAUCCACAUGACUCAGUUUCCCCAUUUGUAAAAUAGGAAUGAUAAUAACCUCUAGAGUUAUUGUGAAAUUUUAAAAAGUGAAUGUAUGUAAAUAGCUGGCAGUAGUGCCUGGCAGUUAGUAAGUACUUAAUAAAUGUUACCCAUUAUUACCACUGAUUGUCCUGAUGACCCUUUUACUUCCAGGGAUUUUUUGAGUGUAACCAAGACUCCCUUCCCUCCUGGUACAGCACUGAGCAGGCAUACAUGGUCAGAGAGAGUAAGCCUUCAUGAGAAAAGAAGCUGUUGCUGAUUUCUUGUUGGUAGGGCAUAAACCUUGAGUGCUUUCUCUAGGGAUGGGGAUGAAUCUCUAUUCAUCUAUUCACCCCUCUUUUAUCCACACCACUACUCUCACUGAUUGAUUUACUCAUUCACUCAACAAAUAUGGACUGUGACCUUGUUAGCUGUUUGAACUGGGACAUACUGUUUAACCUCUCUGUGCCUGAAUUUCCUCCUGUGGCAUUUGAGGACUAAGGGGUUGUGUAGUCUUCCCCUAAUUGGAGGGCUAGGUGUUGGUGAUCUCAACUAAAAUGGUAUCAAUGGGAUGGACAGAAGUGCACAAAUUAGUGAGAAAUUGAGAACCUUGAAGACUGACCAUUUCUCUACACUGGGGAGCUGACCACCUCCAGUGUGGAGAAUGGAUGCCGCAGCAUUUCAGCAUCAGAGAAUCGUUGACAAAAAGAUGCACCUCACAAGAAUGUUUAGAGAAUCUAAUACGAUAGCAUCAUGAAACCACUUUUGGAAGUAAAAAAGGCUUUUAAAAUACCAUCUCAUGGUGAUAAUACUGAACAAAAUGAUGCAACAAUUCUCUGAAUUCUUUAAGGGUACCACUUUGUAGGCAAUAAAUCCCAUCUCUUUAACCCUGACUCUUGUAAACUGAAGAUCCAAGCUUUUCACUUUAUGUCCUUCUCAAAUUGUGGUGACCUGAGUAAAAGGCAGUGAUUCAAGAUGGGGUCAGUAACAGUGCUCUUUAAACACUUUGUCUAGCAGUGCAGCCUAAGACUGCAUCCAGGUUUAGUGGCCUCAUCACCUUGGAUUUAUAUUAACCUGUGGCCAAGCCCUUCAGACUUUCAGCAUAUGAAUGGCUUCAGAGCCAGGAUUUGAAGCAGCUGUUCACAAAGGCACACUACUGAACAGACAUAGACAUGCUAAUAGCGAUAGAAAGAAAACAAGGGAAGCAUAAAAAUUGAGCCAGGGGAUUUUUCACAUUGGUUAAAAGUGGGUUCUAAGUUUCCUAACCACCCAAGCAAAGAAGAUAAUACAAUAGAGUUCCAAGAGUCCCAGUAUCAAUAUAAGUGCAUACUAGUUGCUUAGAAAAAGCAGAAAUUUUCCUAUGUUUAGGUCUGGAAAAUUUCUCCGAUACAAAUGGACACAACAGUAAAGUAUUGUGGUUUUUGGUUUUUUUUUUUGUUUUUUUCUGAGACAGAGCCCCCACUCUGUUGCCCAGGCUGGAGUGCAGUGGCAUGGCUCAGCUCACUGCAACCUCCACCUCCUGGGUUCAAGUGAUUCUCCUGCCUCAGCCUACCAAGUAGCUGGGACUACAGGUGCACACCAACACGACUGGCUAAUUGUAUUUUUAGUAGAGACAGGGUUUCGCCAUGUUGGCCAGGCUGGUCUCGAACUCCUGACCUCAAGUGAUCCACCCACCUCAACCUCUCAAAGUGCUGGGAUUACAGGUGUGAGCCACUGCACUUGGCCAGUAAGGCACCAUGUUUAACCCUCUGUUAUUCACAGACAUUUUGGAAAGGUUAAUAUUCAGUGCUGUCAAGGCUGUAGUAAAACUGGAAUACUCAGAUGGCUGAUGAUAUCAUUUAUUAGCACAACCCUUCCCCAGAGCGUUUUUAAAAUACAUAGGAAGCCAUAAAGUACUUAUAUUUUUGAUCUAUUAAUUCCAAGGAAAUAAUCUGAAAUAAGGAAAAGCUAAAUGUAAGUCUACUAAUGAGAGUGAAAAAUUUGAAACAGCAUAAAUGUCUAAUGAUAGGAAACUGUCUAAAAACAUGAUAGUAUAUAUACACACGGUAGAAAUUAUGAAAUAGCCAUUAAAAAUGAUGGUAACAAAAACUAUGUCACAACACAGAAAAUGCUUAUAAUGUUAAAUGAAAUAGCAGAUCUCAAUCUGUGUUUAUGUUAUAGUUUUAUAACAGAGAAUUGUUUGUAAAAAUAUAGGAAUAAACAGGUAAUGUGGUAAAAUGAAAAUGGAUAUUCGUUAGGGCAUUGGGAUUGUGGGUAGAAC